GACGAACGCUGGCGGCGUGCUUAAUACAUGCAAGUCAACUGAACUUAAGAUAGCAAUAUUUUAAGGGAGGUGGCGCACGGGUGAGUAACACGUAGGUAAUCUGCCUUUAGGUCUGACAUAACCUACCGAAAGGUAGGCUAAAAUCAGAUGAUGCAGCGGCUCGACAUCGAGACAGUUGUUAAAUCUUCGGAGCCUAGAGAUGAGCCUGCGUCUGAUUAGGUAGUUGGCGGAGUAAUAGCCCACCAAGCCUGCGAUCAGUAGCUGGUCUGAGAGGAUGAUCAGCCACACUGGAACUGAGACACGGUCCAGACUCCUACGGGAGGCAGCAGUAAGGAAUAUUGCUCAAUGGCCGAAAGGCUGAAGCAGCAACGCCGCGUGGAGGAUGAAAUAACUUUUGUUAUAGUAAACUACCUCG
rnacentral:rRNA from 1 species